rnacentral:rRNA from 1 species
AAUCCUUUAACGAGGAACUAUUGGAGGGCCAGUCUGGUGCCAGCAGCCGCGGUAAUUCCAGCUCCAAUAGCGUAUAUUAAAGUUGUUGCGUCUAAAAAGCUCGUAGUUUGAAAACUUGCCUUGGCUUACAACAGACGUCUAAGGGCGUCACCGUUUGUCGUGAGCAAAUAUGGGUGACUGUUCUUGCCUUCUUCACUGAUUGGCUCGUAAAAGUCAUCGAAGAUCACUUUGAUUAAAUUAGGGUGCUCAAAGCAAGUGUGCUACUUGAAUAUGAAUGCAUGGAAUGAUGGAAUAUGUUGUUGUUCUAUUUGUUGGUUUUUUGAAUGACGAAAUGAUUGAAAGGAACUGUUGGGGGCAUUCGUAUUGUUGUGAGAGAGGUGAAAUUCUUAGACCAUAGCAAGACGAACUACUGCGAAAGCAUUUGCCAAGAAUGUUUUCAUUGAUCAAGAACGAAAGUUAGAGGUUCGAAGGCGAUCAGAUACCGCCCUAGUUCUAACCAUAAACUAUGCCGACUAGCAAUUUGCUUUGUAUUUUUAUGACUAAGUGAGAGGCCACGGGAAACCAAAGUAGGGUUAUGGGGGAAGUAUGGUUGCAAAGCUGAAACUUAAAGGAAUUGACGGAAGGGCACCACCAGGAGUGGAGCCUGCGGCUUAAUUUGACCCAACACGGGAAAACUUACCUGGUCCUGACACUAGAAGGAUUGACAGAUUGAUAGCUCUUUCUUGAUUUGGUGGAUGGUGGUGCAUGGCCGUUCUUAGUUGGUGGAGUGAUUUGUCUGGUUAAUUCCGACAACGAACGAGACUCUAGCCUAUUAAAUAAUAUGCGGAAUCAAUUUCUCCCGCGUUAUUUCUUAAUGGGAUCAAGCGUGUUUAACGCUUUGAAACAGAGCAAUAACAGGUCUGUGAUGCCCUUAGAUGUUCGGGGCUGCACGCGCGCUACAUUGAAGAACAAAGUGAGCCCUCUGGCUUUUAACAAAGCUAGAAAUCUUUUAAUGUUCUUCUUAAUGGGGAUAGGGGAUUGCAAUUGUGCCCCUUGAACGAGGAAUUCCCAGUAAGUGCUAGUCAUUAGCUAGUACUGAUUACGUCCCUGCCCUUUGUACACACCGCCCGUCGCUACUACCGAUUGAAUAGUUUAGUGAGAUCAUCUGAGUUUUUGUAUGUGCAUUCUGUGCUUGUAUGGUGUACGAAGAAGAUCAAACUUGAUUAUUUAGAGGAAGUAAAAGUCGUAACAAGGUUUCCGUAGGUGAACCUGCGGAAG